UACAGAGGUCUCAAGCGUUGUUCGGAUUCAUUGGGCGUAAAGGGUGCGUAGGCUGGCGCGUAAGUCGGGUGUGAAAUUCGAUGCUUAACUCCGAAACUGCAUUCGAUACUGCCGUGCUUGAGGACUGGAGAGGAGACUGGAAUUUACGGUGUAGCGUGAAAUGCGUAGAGAUCGUAAGGAAGACCAGUGGCGAAGGCGGGUCUCUGGACAGUUCCUGACGCUGAGGCACGAAGGCCAGGGGAGCAAACGGG
rnacentral:rRNA from 1 species